AUUGAACGCUGGCGGCACGCCUAACACAUGCAAGUCGAGCGGUAGCAGGACCUGUAGCAAUACAGGUUGCUGACGAGCGGCGGACGGGUGAGUAAUACGUAGGAACUUGCCUUUUAGUGGGGGAUAACUAAGGGAAACUUUAGCUAAUACCGCAUAUUCUCGAGAGAGGAGAGCUGCCGUAAGGUGGCGCUAGAAGAGGGGCCUGCGUCCGAUUAGCUAGUUGGUGAGGUAAGAGCUCACCAAGGCGAUGAUCGGUAACUGGUCUGAGAGGACGACCAGUCACACUGGGACUGAGACACGGCCCAGACUCCUACGGGAGGCAGCAGUGGGGAAUAUUGGACAAUGGGGGCAACCCUGAUCCAGCGAUGCCGCGUGAGUGAAGAAGGCCCUCGGGUCGUAAGGCUCUUUAGGUUGGGAAGAAGGGUGUUGGGGGAAAUGCCAAUACUUUGACGGUACCGACAGAAUAAGCACCGGCAAACUCUGUGCCAGCCGCCGCCGCAA
rnacentral:rRNA from 1 species